UACAGAGGGGGCAAGCGUUAUUCGGAAUUAUUGGGCGUAAAGGGCGCGUAGGCGGCCUUGCAAGUGGCGGGUGAAAUCCCUCGGCUUAACCGAGGAACUGCCUGCCAGACUGCAAGGCUCGAGACCGGGAGAGGUGAGUGGAAUUCCCAGUGUAGCGGUGAAAUGCGUAGAUAUCGGGAGGAACACCAGUGGCGAAGGCGACUACCUGGCCUGUUCUUGACGCUGAGGCGCGAAAGCUAGGGGAGCAAACGGG
rnacentral:rRNA from 1 species